UACGUAGGGCGCAAGCGUUGUCCGGAAUUAUUGGGCGUAAAGAGCUCGUAGGCGGUUUGUUGCGUCGGCUGUGAAAUCCCGAGGCUCAACCUCGGGUCUGCAGUCGAUACGAGCAAACUAGAGUGUUGCAGGGGAGACUGGAAUUCCUGGUGUAGCGGUGAAAUGCGUAGAUAUCUGGAGGAACACCGGUGGCGAAGGCGGCAUCCUGGACCAACACUGACACUGAGGAGCGAAAGCCAGGGGAGCAAACAGG
rnacentral:rRNA from 1 species